rnacentral:rRNA from 1 species
GAGGAAUAAGCAUCGGCUAACUCCGUGCCAGCAGCCGCGGUAAUACGGGGGAUGCAAGCGUUAUCCGGAAUCAUUGGGCGUAAAGCGCCUGUAGGUGGUUUAAUAAGUCUGUUGUUAAAGACUAGGGCUUAACCCUAGGAAAGCAAUGGAAACUAAUAGACUAGAGUAUGGCAGGGGUAGAGGGAAUUUCUAGUGUAGCGGUGAAAUGCGUAGAUAUUAGAAAGAGCACCGGUGGCGAAAGCGCUCUACUGGACCAUUACUGACACUCAGAGGCGAAAGCUAGGGUAGCAAAAGGGAUUAGAUACCCCUGUAGUCCUAGCCGUAAACGAUGGAUACUACAUGUUGUGCUUUAUGUACAGUAUGGUAGCUAACGCGUUAAGUAUCCCGCCUGGGGAGUACGCUCGCAAGGGUGAAACUCAAAGGAAUUGACGGGGGCCCGCACAAGCGGUGGAGCAUGUGGUUUAAUUCGAUGCAACGCGAAGAACCUUACCAGGACUUGACAUACUACAAAUUCUUUUGAGAAAAAGAAGUGCCUUCGGGAAUGUAGAUACAGGUGGUGCAUGGCUGUCGUCAGCUCGUGUCGUGAGAUGUUGGGUUAAGUCCCGCAACGAGCGCAACCCUUAUUUUUAGUUACCAAUUCGUUGGGUUCUCUAGAAAGACUGCCGGUGACAAACCGGAGGAAGGUGAGGAUGACGUCAAGUCAGCAUGCCCCUUAUGUCCUGGGCUACACACGUGCUACAAUGGUUAAGACAAAAAGUCGCGAGCUCGCAAGAGUCAGCUAAUCUCAUAAACUUAGCCCAAGUUCAGAUUGUAGGCUGCAACUCGCCUGCAUGAAG